UGCGCGCACGCACAGCGAGUGAGUAGGCCGCGUUAGUGUGAUGAUUUUUGAUGCCUGUGUGGUUUAUAAAGUCUCUUUACAUACGUAAAUAAAGGUUUUUUGUAAGUCAUAAUUCAAAAUGUUGUUUUUCUUGUCAGAAGAGAACAUGGAAACAUUUGUGAGAGAAAAACUCGUCGAGUGCAGUCUUAUGGAGACGUCUAACGGUUGGAACAAACGUGGAAUUCCUUAACCGAGUCCACAAAACCCCAUCCAUCUGUCAUGGCGAUUUGAAAAUGCCAGCAGAUCUCUCAGGCAUUGAUCAUAAUCAAUGGACAGGUCACCGUAGCCACCAGGAUCCAGUCUGUAUUCAGAUCAGAUGGUCACUGCAGUCACCCGGAUUCAGCCUGUAUCCAGAUCAGAUGGUGGAUCAGCACCUAGAGAUGACCUCUGCAGCCCUGAAUGUCAGCGGAGACCAGGACUACUAGAUGAGCCCCAGAGAUAGAUCCCCAGUAAAGACCUUGUC
ensembl:lncRNA